AUGGCGGAAGAGGAGUUAACUGAUAUCAUGGUAGACAUGGAGUAUGGAGAACUGAUGAAAGACUGGAUAGAAUAUCGGUCAGAUGAUGAAAAUUCAGAUUGUGAAGAUCGGUCAGAGAAUGGGAACGAAUGGGAUGAUCUUAAUAUCAAUGAGCUUGAUGAUGAUCAGGAAAACAACUCGGAGCUCUCGAAUGAAGAUUACAUUAGUCAGUUCAUUUCCGAAUGUCAUAAUGCGUACGACUAUUACAGUGAAUCCGACGCGGCGACAUGCCUUAACGAUGAAUCAUUAGAUGCACCUGGUUCUGGGGAGUCCGAGUCGUUGGUCAUCAUGAGUGAAGUGACACAAGAUGAUGGUGCAAAGAAUGUCCAAGAUACUGCCAGUGCAGAUGAUAAGAGGGAUAUGUUCAUGCAGAUAAUGGAAAUGACCUUUACGUCUCACGAUGCUGCGUAUGAUUUCUACAACAGCUAUGCUAGAGAUAAUGGUUUCAGCAUUAGAAAGAAUAAGGUCAAGUAUAGCAAAACAGAGUCACGUCAUAUGCGUUAUAGGCGGUUUGUUUGUUCAAGACAAGGGAAACGUGACAACAAGUUGCUAACCGAGGAAGGACACAGCCGACCGGACGAGGUACCUUUUCUUUGGUCCCACAGAAAAAUCAAAGAGUACCAGAAGCAUGAGAUAAUGUCCAUGGGAGCUGCAGGGAUUAGAAUUCACGACAUGAUGGAUUGCUUCAUCAGCAAGCAUGUAUGGUACGGCUGUGUUGGUUUUACCAGGCAUGAAAUAUACAACCUUUGCGCCAAGGAUAAGAGGAAGCUGCUUUCAAAAGGUGAUGCUGCCACAGCCAUAGGCAUCAUGGCCAGUAGGAAACAGAGGGAUCCUAGCUUCUUUUUCGAGUAUAGGCUAGAUAAGGAAGGACAUUUGAAUAGGAUGUUCUGGUGCGACUCCCAGUCUCGUCAUGACUAUGAGGACUUCGGCGACGUGCUUGUAUUUGACAGCACGUACAAGAUGAACCGCUAUGGUAUGCCAUUCAUACCUUUUGUUGGUCUUAACAAUCACCGGAAGACCACUGUUUUUGGUUGUGCCAUAGUUUCAGACGAGACCGAGGAGACAUACGUGUGGCUUCUGCAGACGUUUUUGAGGUCCAUGUGUCAAAAGAUUCCUAAGAGUGUUAUCACAGACGCCGACGCUGCGAUGAUCAAGGCAAUUCGCGAAGUCUUGCCAGACGUGUGGCACAGUAUAUGUACGUGGCACAUAGAGAAAAAUAUGAAGAUUCACCUUAGUCACAAGUCCUUGAAGGAGUUCCGAACUCUUCUGUAG
rnacentral:rRNA from 1 species